CACAGCUCCUGACACACGGACAGCGAGCGAGGUGGGAUUUAGGAGCCGCUCUAGUGUAACAUCCCACCAAGAACUGCUUGUCCGCCAAGAGUAACAACCGGAGCAGUUCUCUCUGGAAUAUGUGUGCUAAUUCUGGAAGGUGGAGGAAAACAUUCUCCCUUCACGACAUGACUUCAACACCCGGAAACUUGACUGCAGUGACCUCUACUGUGUAACCUUCACUUUUCCUGUUCAAGAGGAGGAACUCUUUGCAGAUCUGUUAUAAUCUUUUACACCUAUCUAAAAUGUAGAACAUACAGCUGAUGACAAGGAGGGGCCAGCUGCUGAUGGCUUGCUCUGGCUUCUCCUUCUGUCACUCAGUUUCAGGCACUGAAAUAAACAGAUGUUUGAAGCUUUCCACUGAGAGCUCUACAAUAUGCUGUCUUCAAUACAUUGUGUUAACUGGGAUAUUGUGGGAAACAAAUUUACAAAGCUGCAUUGUAGAAGAUCUGAAUUUAACAAGGGAGAUAAGACUACAUGACUGCACUUGCAUCUGAUUAAAACAAACAAAUAAAAACCAGGAAAUGACCCUGGCACCUCUGAGACCAAGUAGAAGGAAGAGGGAUGAUCACCAUGCGAGUACUUAAAAACACAGCUACAAGAAAAGGAAAAACACAGCUCCAAGCAAGGCUGCAGAAGAUGGUCACAUUCCUAGUGUGAUGGGGAACAGUGAAGUUACCAGAGAUUAAAGAAAAACUGCUUUUAAGGCUGCAGUAAGUGUAGUCUGUGCCUACGAAAUCUACUUUUCCUUUUUAGUUGACAAACAAUGACUGCAAAUUAUUUGAAUUACAUGUUCUCCCUAAAAGCUUUUGUAGUAAUUUGCCAGAAUAGUCUCCAUCAAGAUGAAAUAAUUUGGUUUGGAUCUGGCUUAUUACAGUGACGUUUUGUAAUAAAACCCCCAGUACGUGA